UUACAAUGCGAGCAAUCGUGAUAAGGAAACCCUGAGUGCCUGUCGAUGCAGGCCGUUCAUAUAUCUAAAUCAUAUGUGAAGAAAGGGCAGGGCAAGACCGGUGCCAGCCGCCGCGGUAAUACCGGCUGCUCGAGUGAUGGCCACUAUUACUGGGUUUAAAGCGUCCGUAGCUUGACUGUUAGGUCUCUUGGGAAAUCUUCACGCUCAACGUGAAGGCGUCUAAGAGAUACCGGCAGUCUUGGAACUGGGAGAGGUAAACCGUACUUCGGGGGUAGGAGUGAAAUCUUGUAAUCCUCGAGGGACGACCUAUGGCGAAGGCAGUUUACCAGAACAGCUUCGACAGUGAGGGACGAAAGCUGGGGGAGCAAACGGGAUUAGAUACCCCGGUAGUCCCAGCCGUAAACAAUGUGCGUUAGGUGUGUCGGUAACCACGUGUUACUGAUGCGCCGAAGAGAAAUCGUGAAACGCACCACCUGGGAAGUACGGUCGCAAGGCUGAAACUUAAAGGAAUUGGCGGGGGAGCACCACAACAGGUGGAGCCUGCGGUUUAAUUGGAUUCAACGCCGGACAUCUUACCGGAUAAGACAGCUGAAUGAUUGUCAAUCUGAAGGUUUUACAUGACUAGCUGAGAGGAGGUGCAUGGCCGUCGUCAGUUCGUACUGUGAAGCAUCCUGUUAAGUCAGGUAACGAGCGAGACCCA
rnacentral:rRNA from 1 species